UGGAGAGUUUGAUCCUGGCUCAGGACGAACGCUGGCGGCGUGCUUAACACAUGCAAGUCGAACGGAAAGGCCCUUUCGGGGGUACUCGAGUGGCGAACGGGUGAGUAACACGUGGGUGAUCUGCCCUGCACUUUGGGAUAAGCCUGGGAAACUGGGUCUAAUACCGGAUAGGACUACGCGAUGCAUGUCGUGUGGUGGAAAGCUUUUGCGGUGUGGGAUGGGCCCGCGGCCUAUCAGCUUGUUGGUGGGGUGAUGGCCUACCAAGGCGACGACGGGUAGCCGGCCUGGAGAGGGUGAUCCUGGCUCACACUGGGACUGAGAUACGGCCCANACUCCUACGGGAGGCAGCAGUGGGGAAUAUUGCACAAUGGGCGCAAGCCUGAUGCAGCGACGCCGCGUGAGGGAUGACGGCCUUCGGGUUGUAAACCUCUUUCAGCUCCGACGAAGCGCAAGUGACGGUAGGGGUAGAAGAAGGACCGGCCAACUACGUGCCAGCAGCCGCGGUA
rnacentral:rRNA from 1 species